GCUUUCCUGUGGCUCAGUUGGUAGAGCAUUGCACUAACAACGAAGGGUGGUGGGUUAAAAUCCCAUGGAAAGCA